rnacentral:lncRNA from 1 species
AAAAUAUCCCAUUUGAAAAGUCUCAACUAUUUUUUAAGGACAAUAGGUAAAACUAUGAUCAAGAUGAUAAUGAGGAGAAUUAUGAUGGCAAUACAAGUCCAUUUUCUGGUAUUCAUUUGGUGCUUCCUAGCAACAUGCAAUUGUUGGACCCCACCUCUAACAUACGAAUUAGCACGUGCCACGUGGCUUUCAAUAUUAUCCAAUUGUUCACCUUGUGAUUGAACCAAAACAGACAUGUCCAUAAACACUUGGUGAAGCUCCAUUAGAUUUCUUUCUAUCUCUUUCACUGUGUCAUGCCUCUCUUGAAUUUCUUGGAUUGUGUCCAUGAUGUUUGCUCUUCCUUGUUGCUGGAUUGCUUUUUGUAAAAAUGUUUCACUUUCACCUAUGUUACAUUAAAAAGAUGUACACUAUCAAUAAUUUUAAUUAAUUGUGAAUAAUAAUAGAAACAAAUCACUUUCUCAAUCUACUAAAAAGUUUCUCCUAUCAUUAUUCACUCUAGCUUAGGCAUGGCAAUAGGGCGGGGUGGGGACGGGUUUUACCUUCCCCGUCUCCAUACCCGAUUCUCAUAUACUUACCUGUUACCCUACCUAUACUCAACGGGGAUGAGAAAUUGAAUCUCAUCCCCGUCCCCGACGGGUUCGGGUAUCCCCGCCCCAUCCCCGUCCCCGCAUUGAAUAAUUUUUUUAAUAAAAAAUAGAAUUUUUUUUGCAUCCCCAAAGAGCAACGUUGUAAUACAUUAUCCAACAAUAAGCUCAUUUUCACAUUUGUUAGACAAAAUGAUUUAGUUGAUCCUUUAAAUAUCAAUGAUAGUUUUUAUUAACAUGACAAUUAUCAAACAAAAUAACAUAAUGUAUCAACAUAAAGUAAUUUUUUACAUUUGGGACGGGUUUGAGUAUGGGUACCUAUAUACCCGUUACCCGUCCCAUACCCGUGUUUUGAGAUCGGGGAAAACCCAUACUCAUAUCCAAACCCAGUCAAAACGGGGAAAACCCGUCAAAUUGAAUUUGGUUCGGGUGGAUAAUCACGGGUGUGGGUUUUGUUGUCAUGCCUACUCAAGCUAGAUCCUUGUUGGUUAAACUUUCACUUCAAGCAAAUGUAAAAACUAAAAAGAAAAACCAUAUACUCUGAAUUAUGUACAUAUAACAUAUAAGCAUAUUGGCCUUGAAUUAAAAAGAAAGUAUGGUAUUUGCUUACAAUAUUAUUACUUGAUUCAUUUUUUUUAGGUGCGUAAAGAAAGUGGCAAACACCAUCUGAAACUCACUCAUACGAUUAAAAAAGGUUUUGAGAUUUUAAUUCGGUUUCAAUUUCUAAGAUUUCAAAAUAUUAAUUUCAUUAAGAUUUAUGGUUUUAUUUCUUGAUCUCAAAAAUAGAUUAAUUUACAUAAUAUUUAACAAUUAAAAAAGAUAACGUAACCCUCUCUUCUUUUCUCUUUUCAAAAUACUUCCACCUAAAGAUACCCUUAAGAAUGAAUUAUUAAAAUUUAAAAUAACUUCAUGGUUAAUUAAACACAACCAAAAGUUUAUCAUAGUAUGAACAUAGAUAAAUAAAAAUUAUAAUAUACAAUGAAAAGUUGUGUGAAUUGAUGAUAUACAUACCAGUGGAAAUGAGGAGGUCAACGGUUUUGUCAUCAGGAUUCUCUCCGGUAACGGUAUAGUAUCUACGUUGUACAGUUUCUCUAUAUUCAGAAGAUAUUUGUUGUCUAAGGUUGUUAAAGCUAUCCAUGGAAUCCUUAAGCUUCUUCCUCAAACCACUCACCACAGAUGUUCUAGUCCGGUCCGAGGACGAACCAGGUCCAGCACCAGGCAAACUCCUACUAGCCUCGUUGGACCGGUCAAGUGCCUCGAGCCGUAGUUUAACAAGUUUAGCUUUCUUAAGAGCUAAAGCCACGUCAGCAUCCAUUUUGGAGCGAAUAUCCUUCACAGCUUUCGCACUGUGAAGGGUCUUGCUCCUCUCAUGGGAGACUCUAAGGCUUUCGUAGAGACGAUCUAGCUCCUUCAACUCCUCUUUAACACCUUCAACUUCUUCGAAGAAUUUGUCGAGAUGAACACCGGUUUGUGCAGUGUUCGGUGAUGACAUUUCGAUCACAUGGUGGUGGUUGUCCGGCGAAACUUGAUCCGAGUUACGGAACCGGGAGAAAGAGCCGGAGAAUAAAUCAUUCAUCUUCUUGUUUAUGUAAGAAAAAAUAGAGAAGAGAAGGUUUUGUUACUUUUUCUGGAAGUUGAAUAUCUAUAGUUGAACACUUGAACCUGUUUAGAGAAUAUGAAUGAAGAAGUAUUUAUAUUUAUAUGUUAUGUAAUGUAAUGAAGAGAAAUAUGGAUUUGGGAUUUAUAUAUAAUGGUUGUUUCUUGAAUGAUAUUGUAGUUUGAAAUUUUCUUUGAAAAAUAAUAAUAAAAGGGUGAGGAAG